rnacentral:rRNA from 1 species
AUUGAACGCUGGCGGCAGGCCUAACACAUGCAAGUCGAGCGGUUGAAGGGAGCUUGCUCCCUGAUUCAGCGGCGGACGGGUGAGUAAUGCCUAGGAAUCUGCCUAUUAGUGGGGGACAACGUUUCGAAAGGAACGCUAUUACCGCAUACGUCCUACGGGAGAAAGCAGGGGACCUUCGGGCCUUGCGCUAAUAGAUGAGCCUAGGUCGGAUUAGCUUGUUGGUGAGGUAAUGGCUCACCAAGGCGACGAUCCGUAACUGGUCUGAGAGGAUGAUCAGUCACACUGGAACUGAGACACGGUCCAGACUCCUACGGGAGGCAGCAGUGGGGAAUAUUGGACAAUGGGCGAAAGCCUGAUCCAGCCAUGCCGCGUGUGUGAAGAAGGUCUUCGGAUUGUAAAGCACUUUAAGUUGGGAGGAAGGGUUGUAGAUUAAUACUCUGCAAUUUUGACGUUACCGACAGAAUAAGCACCGGCUAACUCUGUGCCAGCAGCCGCAGUAA